GCCAUCAUGGUGUAGUGGUUUGAGUGUUGGACUAGAACUCUAAAGACCAGGGUUUGAAUCCCAUGUAAACCCA